AUUGAACGCUGGCGGCAGGCCUAACACAUGCAAGUCGAGCGGAUGAAGGGAGCUUGCUCCUGGAUUCAGCGGCGGACGGGUGAGUAAUGCCUAGGAAUCUGCCUGGUAGUGUGGGAUAACGUCCGGAAACGGGCGCUAAUACCGCAUACGUCCUGAGGGAGAAAGUGGGGGAUCUUCGGACCUCACGCUAUCAGAUGAGCCUAGGUCGGAUUAGCUAGUUGGUGGGGUAAAGGCCUACCAAGGCGACGAUCCGUAACUGGUCUGAGAGGCUGAUCAGUCACACUGGAAGUGAGACACGGUCCAGACUCGUAGGGGAGGCAGAGGUGGGGAAUAUUGGACGAAGGGCGAAAGGCUGAUCCAGCCAUGCCGCUUGUGUGAAGCAGGUCUUCGGAUUGUAGGGCACUUUAAGUUUGGAAGAAGGGCAGUAAGUUAAUACCUGCCUGUUUUGACGUUACCAACAGAAUAAGCACCGGCUAACUUCGUG
rnacentral:rRNA from 1 species